GUUAGGGAAGGGGUCUUGCUAUGUUGACCAGGCUGGUCUCAAACUCCUGGUCUCAAGUAAUCUUCCAGCUUCAGCUUCCUAAAGUGCUGGGCUUAUAGGUAUGAGCCACCAUACCUGUCAUAUUCUAGAUUUAACAGCUAAUUUUUACUGAGUAGUUAUUACAUGUGUGCCAAGACCAUUGCUAAAUUAUCUCAUUUAAUCCCUAGAGGAAUCAUAGGUACCAUUAUCAUCCUUAUUUCGAAUAAGGAAACUGAAACUUAGAGAAGUUAAAUAACUUGCUUAAAGUUAUACAGCUAAUAAAGAUUCUAACCAGGUUCUUCCUUAAUGAUUCUAAAGGCUGAACUCCUAACAAUGCUAUUCCCACAUUUCUGUUUUAUAUUAUUAUAAUUAUAGCAUACAUAGUGUCAUGUUUGGCUUCCUUGUCCCCCACUUACUGUUAUCAAAAGCAUGCUCCUAUACUUAUAGACCUCAAAAUUACAAUUUCUAAAGGCUAUGUAAUAGUGUAUUAGGUUAAUAUGCAGGUAUUUCUCCUGAAUUUUCAAAAUGUCAAAUGAAUAUAGUGUGGAUGGUUUAUAUUACGGAGACUUCUCAUGGCCAUAACUAGAUGAUGAUGAUGAUGAUGAUGAUGAUGAUGAUGAUGAUGAUGGGGAAUAAGCAUCAAAUGAAUAAGAAAAAAGCACAACAUAUCUGCUUUAUUUGAGUGGCUUUAUAUAUCAUUAUACUUGUGUUAUAGAUGAAGAAAAGGUAUUAAACACUAUGCUAAUGAUAGUGAAAGUGAAAACAAAAGAAAGGCUAUCUAUUUUGUACUUAGAAUAAAGUUGCUCAGUAUUUAGUUACCUAAAUACGUCAGCAUUUAAACUCCUCCUAGUAAAAGCUUGCCAAUCUGAAUAAUCCUCCUUUAAACACAAUUUUUGAUAUGGUUAAGUUUUUUAAGAAUGCAACUCCUGCAAAAUAGCUGAACAGACAAUACACAUUUAAAAAAAAAACAACACAAGGAUCAACCAGACUUGGGAAAAAAUCAAAAACAACACAAGUCUUAUUAAGAACUGAGUUCCUGGCCGGGUAUGGUGGCUCAUGAGGUCAGGAGAUUGAGACCAUCCUGGCUAACAUGGUGAAAUCCCGUCUCUACUAAAAAUACAAAAAAAAUUAGCCGGGCAUGGUGGCAGGCACCUGUAGUCCCAGCUACUCGGGAGGCUGAGGCAGGAGAAUGGCGUGAACCUGGGAGGCGGAGCAUACAGUGAGCCAAGAUGGCGCCACUGCACUCCAACCUGGGUGACAGAGCGAGACUCUGCCUCAAAAAACAAACAAACAAACAAAAAAAAAACUGAGUUCUUAAAAUAUUACAGAGAACAUAGCUAUCGGAAGAGACAGCAGCAUUGGCAAGUUGAUUGUUACAUUGGUCAGCAAAAGCUAGCACUAUUUUUUUGGCCAUCUUUCAGGCAAUGUAACUACUACUGCAAAAUGAGACAUAAUCCAUUAACAACAUAUUCACAAAUCAAAAAAUGUUUUAGUAAUAUAAUGCUUCAGAUUUAGAAGCAAAUAGAAUGAUACAACUCAACUGCUAUAAUAACCCCAAAGAUAACCGUAUCUGACAAAAAAACUACCACAGAGUUAUGGCUUCAGAAUUAUACCUUAUCUUGAUAUUUAAACUAUUAAGUCAGUCCAGAAAAAUACAAUAAAUGUCAACAGUAAGUAUGGUGUUGAGGCAGAAAUAGGACCAAACUUUUUCAUAUCUUAUUCAGUUGAUAACAAUAUGACCUAGGUAGUAAUUUCCUAUGUGUCUACUUAUACACAAGUACAAAAAAGUAAAAUAGAGAUACUGCUAAAUAAAAGGGUACACUAAGUUCUUAAUAGUAACUCAAUAAACCAGAACACUGUCAAAA
rnacentral:lncRNA from 10 species